CAUUGGUGUGAUGAUAUAUUUUACGGAAUAUACGAUGUCGACUUCAAUAUUCAGACUACAAUUAUCUGAUCAAUG